rnacentral:rRNA from 1 species
AUUGAACGCUGGCGGCAGGCCUAACACAUGCAAGUCGAACGAGUGGCGGACGGGUGAGUAAUGUCCGGGAAACUGCCUGAUGGAGGGGGAUAACUACUGGACACGGUAGCUAAUACCGCAUACCAUCGGAUGUGCCCAGAUGGGAUUAGCUAGUAGGUGGGGUAACGGCUCACCUAGGCGACGAUCCCUAGCUGGUCUGAGAGGAUGACCAGCCACCCUGGAACGGAACCGAGGUCCAGACCCCUACGGGAGGCGGAAGUGGGGAAUAUGGCACAAUGGGCGCAAGCCUAGUGCAGCCAUGCCGCGUGUAUGAAGAGGGCCUUGGGGUUGGAAAGUACUUUCAGCGGGGAGGCGUUACCCGCAGAAGAAGCACCGGCUAACUCCGUGCCAGCAGCCGCGGUAAUUC